GAUGAACGCUGGCGGCGUGCCUAAUACAUGCAAGUCGAGCGAACAGACGAGGAGCUUGCUCCUCUGACGUUAGCGGCGGACGGGUGAGUAACACGUGGAUAACCUACCUAUAAGACUGGGAUAACUUCGGGAAACCGGAGCUAAUACCGGAUAAUAUAUUGAACCGCAUGGUUCAAUAGUGAAAGACGGUUUUGCUGUCACUUAUAGAUGGAUCCGCGCCGCAUUAGCUAGUUGGUAAGGUAACGGCUUACCAAGGCAACGAUGCGUAGCCGACCUGAGAGGGAGUUCGGCCACACUGGAACUGAGACACGGUCCAGACUCCUACGGGAGGCAGCAGUAGGGAAUCUUCCGCAAUGGGCGAAAGCCUGACGGAGCAACGCCGCGUGAGUGAUGAAGGUCUUCGGAUCGUAAAACUCUGUUAUUAGGGAAGAACAAAUGUGUAAGUAACUAUGCACGUCUUGACGGUACCUAAUCAGAAAGCCACGGCUAACUACGUG
rnacentral:rRNA from 1 species